rnacentral:lncRNA from 1 species
CGCAUAGAACAUUUUAAUGAAUAAAUAAAGGACUUUAUUCAUUCGAUGCUACUCGUACAAUAACGAAAUGCUAAAAAUUAUAACAACUCAAUGUAAAGGUUGAUGACCAACUGACCAACUUGCUGUAGAAGUCAUGCACCGAUGAGGAAUCAUGCAAUUUACCCUAUUAUAGCGGUUUCAGAGAGAAUUGGAAUGGGGGCUAUAGCCUAUAUGCGCUAUUUCUCAUGAAUGAGUAAUUCUUGGAAUUUCAAGAGUGCCAUGUUGUCACUUCAUGUUUUCAGCUUAUGUUUUAAAAGUAAAAUUAAAUUAUUAAACAAUUAACAGAUAACAGAAUUAAAUAAAAAUAUAAUGGACUAGAGGAUCAAGAAAAUGAAAAAUGAAACUAGAUUUAAUAACUAUUUUUUGUUAAAUGUUUUAAAAAAAAAAAAAAAGUUACAUAGUACCAAUCGUGCUAAAGUACCAGUUUAAAUAGUUACAUUUUAUAUGUUCAAUUAAGUCCCUGUUUGAGUCCCAUUUUUACCUCAUUAAAAUGAAAAAUAUGACCGUUAUCCAUCACAUCAAGUCACAAUUUUUGAAUUUCUAUUUCUGAUGUGGGGCCCAUAACGGCUCUAUUUCUCAUUCUUAUUUUCAUUAUAAUGUGGUUCAAACGGGCUCUAAAUGAGUUACGUGACUUUAUAUUUUGAUGAAUCAAUCAUUUAAGGCCAUGCAAUUACAACUUAGCCCUUGUUUGAUAUCCUUAAAUGUUUAAAAACAUUGUUUUGAAUAGUAUUUUUUGAAGAAUGUGUGGUUAAAAUGUAGGAAAAUUUUUAAAUUUAUGUGUGGAAUAUUUUAUUAUAUGAAUGUAUGAUCGAAAAUGAGUAUGAGAAAUAAAUUAAAGAAUGCCAAUCACGGGCUCGGAUCAGUGUUUAACACUGAUUGUG